GAGUUUGAUCCUGGCUCAGGAUGAGCGCUGGCGGCGUGCCUAAUACAUGCAAGUCGAACGAUGUAGCAAUACAUAGUGGCGACCGGGUGAGUAACACGUAGCUGACCUGCCCCUCAGCGGGGGAUAACGUUUCGAAAGAGACGCUAAUACCGCAUGAUUUUGUCGGGUUUAGAAAUCGACAAAUAAACUUCAGGGGUUGAGGGAGGGGGCUGCGGCCCAUCAGGUAGUUGGUGAGGUAACGGCUCACCAAGCCAAUGACGGGUAGGGGGCCUGAGAGGGUGGUCCCCCACACUGGAACUGACACACGGUCCAGACUCCUACGGGAGGCAGCAGUAAGGGAUAUUGGUCAAUGGGCGCAAGCCUGAACCAGCAACGCCGCGUGCAGGAUGACGGCCUUCGGUUGUAAACUGCUUUUGUCGGGACGAGCAAGGACGGUACCCGACGAACAAGUCACGGCUAACUACGU
rnacentral:rRNA from 1 species